CUGCAGCACUUUGUAAAUUAAAGACUUGGAGAUUCCUGGUGAUCUUCUGUAGUGAGCCUCAUUAGGGUUGAACCCCAACCCUAAUUCUGGUGAUCUUCUGUUGUGAGCCUCACUAGGGUGAAGGAAUCAAUCAGGAGGUGAUGACUGUCAGGAGGUGAUGACUGUCAGGAGGUGAUGACUCUCAGGAGGUGAUGACUCUCAGGCCUCGUCCACACCUCUCUCUCUCUAUCAUCCUCCUCUCUCCUCCUCCUCUCUCUCUCUGUCUAUCCUACUUCUUCAUCUCCUCCUGAUCUCACUUCUGAGUUGUUGUAUUAACUACUCAUUGUUAGAUUAGCACCCUUCUUUUUGAUGAAGUAAAAUCUGAUCUGAAGUUUUUAUAUGUGCACAAAUAAACAUCAGGACUCUGA